rnacentral:sRNA from 1 species
AAGUUAAACAAGGUCUUGUCUUAGAUC